rnacentral:miRNA from 1 species
UACAUAUGUGUGUGUGUGUGUGUGUGUGUGUAUAUAUAUAUAUAUAUACACACACACACACACACACGUAGCCGUGUU